rnacentral:lncRNA from 1 species
CUCCAGGAAAUUCCUCAGGGGACUGACAGUCCUGGAUGCUGGGAAUCCCAAAAGGUUGAUUGAUAGCCUCCAAGACCUAUAACACUCAGCCUGGAACACGAAGAGCUAGAAGGCAUGGCACUCAAAGCUCAGAGCUGUAACACUGAGGACUGAGAGCUGCUGCCUCUUAAAGCCUGAAGCUGCUGAUAGCAAGCAAGCCGCGCUUCGCCAAUUCAUGAUUUCUAUCUGAAUACAGCAAGAAGAUCCCUCAACGGAUUGAAGACACCAGAAAGAUAAGAUCUUAAUAUUUACUUCUCAAACUAUUCCUGCUUUACAUAUGAAACAGCUAAGGUUGUGAUUUCUAUGAUUUUUGAAAGUCACUCACUAAGAGAGACUAGAAUCAAACUCGGGCCGAUUCUAAAAUCCUGGGGUCAUGCUACAGAAUACAGCAUCAGAAACAGUUUCAACAACCUGAGAUUAACCAGGAAUUUGUCUCUUGGUUCUUUGUUUCCAAAUACGUAUCUUGUAAAACGAGUAACUAGAAAUUAUCUGAAAUCUUUGUUGAAUAUAACAACUAUAUUGUACUUGACUGUUCUGUAUAUCUUGUAGGGAAGGCAUUAGAGAAGAUUAGAGGAGGUAGGGAGGAAGUGGGGGAAAAGUUGGAGGAAGGAAGCCAGAGAGGCGAACCACGUCAUCUGCUGAGUUUCCGGCCUACACAAGACUGUACCUGCUCCCCUGAUCCUCUGAUGCUUGAACAGAUAGGUGGGACUGAAGGACUCUUCUGCUCACAAGUGGGCAGAGGGCUCUGAAAGUGCCAGGAGUUUUUCCCUGAGAGCUGGUUAGAGAAGGUUAGAAUGUUUAGGACUUGCGGAAAAGUCAGUAUUAUAUGGGCAACCCUUUGUAUUAUGUAUUCCGCAUUAGUAGAUGCAAUCAGCCAUGUACUAAGCAGAUUUGAAAAAAGUUGUGUGUGUACUAAACGUACUGAUAUUAUUUUGUCAUUACUAAAUAAUAUAGUAAAACACCUAUUUAUAUCACAUUUAUAUUGCAUUAGGUUUUAUAAACAACAGAGAGAUUAUUUAAUAUGCACAGGAGGGUAUGCAAGGAUCACAUGCAAAUGCUAUACCAUUUUAUUUAAGAAACCUGAGCACUUGACGAUUUUGACAUUUCAGAGGUGGAGUGAAACUGAAACCAGUCCUUUGAGGAGACCGAGGGACAACUCUGUUGGAGAAACUCUUUUUAGGAAUGUGCUGAUGCGCCCACAGCUGCUUGCUGUGCAGGAGAAUAAAAGUGGUGCUCUGAUGACUAAGUUGGAUGGUGAAUAG